GGAGGUGUAGCUCAGUAGGAGAGCACCUGCUUUCCAUGCAGAAGGUCCCAGGUUCAAUCCCUGGCAUCUCCA